rnacentral:lncRNA from 1 species
GCCCACUUGGCUGGGUCUAUUUCCAAUUCUUUUAGUCUCUGGGGCUGAUGAAAUGAAGAUGGGAGGGUAGGGCAAGAGAAACAAGAAGAGCUAGCCAAGAAGAUAGAAAAUAAUGAUUUUCAGCUCACUGCCACCUCCACUUCCCGGGUUCCCGCGAUCCUCCCACCACAGUGAAGUGGUGUCAUUUGCCUGGGAAAAUACCCAAGGUUCAUUGUCUCAUACCAAGGAAAUCGAAGACACGGACACACAAGAGAUGAGUAAGAGCAGAGGCUUAAUAGGCAAAAGAAAGAGAAAAGAGAAUAGCUCCCUCUCCUGCAGAGAGAGGGGUGCCCGAGUGGGUCUUCCAGUUCCAUGGUGAGGUGCACGGGUUUUAUAGACUGGCUUGAGGAGGCAGUGUCUGAUUUACAUAGGGCCCAAAGAUUGGUUAGACCAGGUGUGACGUUUACAUAGCUCACGAAGAAGCUGGCCACCCCACCUUAAUCUUUUAUUAUGCAAAUGGGUUUUCUACCUGGCCAGAGCCAUGUUGCCUGUUCCUUACUGGACAUGUGGUUGACAAAGAAAAGGGAAGAUGGAGCUGCCAUGUUGAACAUGCCUAGCCCCCAGGAAGCUAGAUGCUAUGCUUUGAAGAAGCUCAGCCAAGACAACUGGAAGAGAAGAGACUACAUGGAGAGAGAAAGGCCACGUGGAGGACCACUGGGGCUCCACGCAUUGAGUGAAGCCUUUUUGGACUUUUGAGCCAGCCAACUAAUAAGAAGUAAAACCAACACUGUGGAGUGGCAAACAAAAGAAAAUGCAUUUUAAUCUGGGUCUCAGGAAUUGCAAUUGGGAGACACAGAUCCAGCAAAUAGGAAAAUCAUGUUCCGUCUUGGUGAGAUUAGGCAGAGGCUUAGAAGGACUACUGUGAGUUUACACAUCUGGAAGGUUUUAGCAUAGUUCAUAAUGGAUGAUGGCUGGUUAACAAUUUAGUACGUCUUUGAUGAUCAAUCUAGUUCAGCAUAGCUGUCUCUUGUCGGUAAAAAAAAAAAAAAAAAAAAGCCAAUCUCUGCAAAAUAUUUAAAGAGCUUUAUUCUGAGCCCAUAUGAGUGACCAUGGCCCAGGGAACAGUCUAAAAGAGGUCCUGAGAAAGUGUGCCUGAGGUGGUUGAAUUACAGCUUGGUUUUAUACAUUGUAGGGAGACAGAAGUUAUAGGCAAAGACAAAUCAAUACAUCUAAGGUAUACAUUGGUUUGGCCAGGAAAGGCGGGACAGCUUAAGGAAGGAGCAAUACAGGUCAUAGGUGGAUUCAAAGAUUUUCUGAUUUGGAAUUGGUCAAAAGAGUUAAGCUGAAGACUUAAAGUCAGGCCGGGCGUGGUGGCUCACGCCUAUAAUCCCAGCACUUUGGGAGGCCGAGGCGGGCGGAUCACAAGGUCAGGAGAUCGAGACCAUCCUGGCUAACAUGGUGAAACCCGUCUCUACUAAAAAUACAAAAAAAAAAAAAUUAGCCAGGCGUGGUGGUGGACACCUGUAGUCCCAGCUACUCGGGAGGCUGAGGCAGGAGAAUGGCGUGAACCCAGGAGGCAGAGCUUGCAGUGAACCAAGAUUGCACCACUGCACUCCAGCCUGGGUGACAGAGCGACACUCCAUCUCAAAAAAAAAAAAAAAAAAAAAAAGACAAAGUCAGUAGAAAGAAAUGCUUGGGUUGAGAUAAGGGGGGGUGGGCUGUGAUUCUUGUUAUAUAGAUGAAGCCUCAGAUAGCAGGCUUCAGAGAGAAUAGAUGGUAAACGUCUCUUUUGGAAUUUCACAGGUGUCAGACUCUUAGUUAAUCUCUGCUAGAUCUGGGAAAAGCCUAGCUGCAUUAAUAAAGAUCCUCUACAGAUGCAAAAUUUCUUUCUCAAAAGAUGGCUUCUCAGGACCAUUUCAAAAUAUGCCAAAGAAAUAUAUUUUGAGGUAAAAUAUUUUAAUUUUCUUCAAGGUCUGUUAUCUGUCAUGUGAUAUUAUACCAGUUGGAAUUUGGUAUCUUCUUACCAAAGAGUCUGUUUUUGUCAGUCUUAUGAUCUCUAUUUUAAUAUUAAUGCUGGUCUGUUAUACCUAAACUUUAAAAGGGAGAGAGUAUAAUGAGGUACGUCCAACCCUUCCUUCCCAUCAUGGCCUGGAAUUUAGUUUUUCAGCUUGCUCUGGGGUCCCCUCGGCCUAGACAGCUGUCUGUUCAGUUGGUUGGGGGCUUAGGAUAUAAUUUUUGGUUUACACUCUUCAGGUUGAUGAUCAGGCAAAGCAUAAACAGUUCAAAUCAAAUGCAGCUGGUUUUACAAUUUGGCCCAGUUACAGUCAGAUUUCAUCUGAGGGUCCAACUCUUCAUGCCUUCUCAACUCAACUGUUAGAUACCUCCAACAAAACCAUCAACCAUCUCCAUUGUGGAUUUUCUUGUCAGAACCCCAGCCCAUCGUCUCACUGAAGCCAUCCUAGUGAGUGACCAUGGCUGUCACCACAUGAACUAAAAGAACCAUCAAGCCAAGCCCUGUCUAGUGUCCAGACCUACAGAAACAGGAGCAGUUUGGAGUGGUUUAUUAUCUAGCAAUAGAUAACUGAAGUAGCUACAAAGAUAACUUUAGCAUGAUUUCCAGGCAAAGUGCUCUCUCCUCAGAAUUUGUAAGAUUCCUCCAAAGAGCAGCUGUAGAGCUGUUAAGUAUCCAAUCCAAACAGAUGGGAGAAAAGAUAAAGCUCUUGACAAGCUGCUGUGGAAAAUACCAAUUCAUGUUAUCUCUGCCUUCCUGGGAACUUGCAAAUGAACCAGCCCUCAAAUGCAGCUCUGGAUAUGACAAACCAUCCCAGAUGGACCCCUAAAGUUCCCCAAUAGCUUUGUAUCUUUCAAAACCACAUAAAUCUUAGAAUCUACAGUUUAGGUUUUUGUUUGUUUGUUUGUUUUAGACAGAGUUUUGCUCUUGUUGCCCAGGCUGGAGUGCAAUGACGUGAUCUCGGCUCACUGCAAGCUCUGCCUCCUGGGUUCAAGUGAUUCUCCUGCCUCAACGUUCCAAGUAGCUGGGAUUACAGGCACGUGCCACCAGGCCCAGCUAAUUUUUUGUAUUUUUAGUAGAGACAGGGUUUCACCAUGUUGGCCAGGCUGGUCUCAAACUCCUGACCUCAGGUGAUCCAUCUGCCUUGGCCUCCCAAAAUGCUGGGAUUACAGGUGUGAGCCACUGCUCUUGGCCCAGUUUAGGGUUUAUAGUGUGCCAAACUACGAGAUCCCUUCCAGUUCUGCUUAUCUUAAUGUAAAAGGACAUUAAAUAUAAAUAAUAUAAAUUAUAUAAUUAAUGACAAUUAAAAUUAUUUUUAAGUUAAUUGUUUUUGUUUUUGUUUGAGACUGAGUCUCACUCUAUCGCCCAGGCUGGAGUGCAGUGGCACGAUCUCGGCUCACUGUAACCUCUGCCUCCUGGGUUCAAGCAAUUCUCCUGCCUCAGCCUCCCGAGUAGCUGGGAUUACAAGCGAGUGCCACCAUGCCUGGCUAAUUUUUAUAUUUUUAGUAGAGGCCGGGUUUCACCGUGUUGGCCAGGCUGGUCUUGAACCUCUGACCUUAGGUGAUCCACCCACCUCGGCCUCCCAAAGUUCUGGGAUUACAGGCAUGCACCACCGUGCCCGGCCUGCUAAUUGGUUUUUUAACUAAAGAAAUAAUUUAUGGAGAAUCAAACAUAAAAAGGUAUAAGACAAAAAGAAAAAGUCAAAUGGUGUCAAAGAAUGGUGUCCCAGACUCCCAAGCAGGAAUCCUUGCAGAAAUUUUCCAUGUUUAUACAAUAACCACCAUAAACAUUGAACAUUUACUACGUGUCAAGUACUCUCCUAAACACUUUAUAUGCAUUAAUUCAGCAGAAAGCAAAUUUUUUAUGUUAAAGUUACAUAGCAAAUAUUUUAGGCUUUGUAGAGCACUUGGUCUCCGUUGCAACUAAUCAACACUUUGUUGUAGUAAGAAAGCAGCUAUAGGGAGUAUGUAAACUAACGGAUGCAGCUAUGUUCCAAUAAAACUUUAUUUAAAAAAACAAGCUAUAGCGCCAGGCGCAGUGGCUCACGCCAGUAAUCCUAGCACUUUGGGAGGCCAAGGCAGGCAGAUCACGAGGUCAGGAGAUCGA